CAAUUACUGACAGUUUUUAUUGGAGUCCUGUGUUUGGAUACAAAAAUUCCAUUUCUGGAAUUUUUGUGCCCAAUCUUAUGUAGCUUUUUAGAGACGACUGCUUUUUUUUUUUUUUUUAGACGUCACUAUAUUCGAACUAUCUAGAUUAGGGGUGCACAGACUUGUAAGGACCAAGGGCCACAUAGAUUCACUGUGAUUUAUAGACUUACACCAAAAAUACUACGAAAAUUAUAUAUAAUAUGUUUAUUACUUACUUGUUACUGUGGAUCCGGCGGACGAUUAAGACAGGUGUUAGCCUACCGCGGUUAUGUGGUUUGACGCGUAAGAACGGCAAAAUGAGAUGUUCUCGGCACAGACUGAGACAGACAACUACAGUUUGUGUAAACUUAGGAUCUUUAUUGAGAGAGAGAGAUGUAGAAAAUAUUACAAAAUUUCCAUGUUGAAUGGAGGACAAAUACC
rnacentral:lncRNA from 1 species